rnacentral:rRNA from 1 species
GAUGAACGCUGACGGCGUGCCUAAUACAUGCAAGUCGAGCGAACAGACGAGGAGCUUGCUCCUCUGACGUUAGCGGCGGACGGGUGAGUAACACGUGGAUAACCUACCUAUAAGACUGGGAUAACUUCGGGAAACCGGAGCUAAUACCGGAUAAUAUAUUGAACCGCAUGGUUCAAUAGUGAAAGACGGUUUUGCUGUCACUUAUAGAUGGAUCCGCGCCGCAUAGCUAGUUGGUAAGGUAACGGCUUACCAAGGCAACGAUGCGUAGCCGACCUGAGAGGGUGAUCGGCCACACUGGAACUGAGACACGGUCCAGACUCCUACGGGAGGCAGCAGUAGGGAAUCUUCCGCAAUGGGCGAAAGCCUGACGGAGCAACGCCGCGUGAGUGAUGAAGGUCUUCGGAUCGUAAAACUCUGUUAUUAGGGAAGAACAAAUGUGUAAGUAACUAUGCACGUCUUGACGGUACCUAAUCAGAAAGCCACGGCUAACUACGUG